rnacentral:rRNA from 1 species
CGUAAUAGCUCACUAGUCGAGUGACUCUGCGCCGAAGAUAAACGGGGCUGAAACCUGACACCGAAGCUUUGGAUACAUUAUGUAUGGUAGAGGAGCAUCGUAUACGGGCAGAAGCGUGACCGUAAGGGAGCGUGGACUGUAUACGAGAGAGAAUGUUGGCAUGAGUAGCGAGAGGCAGGUGAGAAUCCUGCCCGCCGAAAAUCUGAGGAUUCCUGAGGAAGGUUCGUCCGCUCAGGGUAAGUCGGGACCUAAGCCGAGAACGAAAGUUGUAGGCGAUGGACAACAGGUUGAGAUUCCUGUACCACCGAGGAUCAUUUGAAUGAAGUGGGGACGCAGGAGGAUAGGCUGAGCGCGCCGUUGGUGGAGCGCGUCCAAGCACGGAGGGAGUUGACCAGGCAAAUCCGGUCAGCGAGUUCCUGUCGUGUGACGGGGAGGGAAAACAAGUACCGAAGCAGCUGAUUUCACACUGCCAAGAAAAGCCGCUGGUGAGAUCCAAGGUGCCCGUACCGCAAACCGACACAGGUAGAUGAGGAGAGAAUCCUAAGGCGAGCGAGAGAACUAUUGUUAAGGAACUCGGCAAAAUGACCCCGUAACUUAGGGAGAAGGGGUGCUGCAGAAAUGCAGCCGCAGUGAAGAGGCCCAGGCGACUGUUUACCAAAAACACAGGUCUCUGGGAAAGCGAAAGCUGAAGUAUAGGGGCUGACGCCUGCCCGGUGCUGGAAGGUUAAGGGGAAGUGUCAGGGCGACCGAAGCACAGAACUUAAGCCCCAGUAAACGGCGGCCGUAACAAUAACGGUCCUAAGGUAGCGAAAUUCCUUGUCGGGUAAGUUCCGACCCGCACGAAAGGCGUAACGAUCUGGGCACUGUCUCGACAAUAGGCUCGGUGAAAUUGUAGUACCGGUAAAGAUGCCGGUUACCCGCAGCAGGACGGAAAGACCCCGUGGAGCUUUACUGCAGUUUGAUAUUGAGUUUCGGCAUUGCAUGUACAGGAUAGGUGGGAGACAGAGAAGUAUGCACGCCAGUGUGUAAUGAGUCGCCGUUGGGAUACCACCCUUGUAAUGUUGGAAUUCUAACCAGGGCCCGUGAACCGGGUCGGGGACAGUGUCAGACGGGCAGUUUGACUGGGGCGGUCGCCUCCUAAAGAGUAACGGAGGCGCCCAAAGGUUCCCUCAGUGCGGUUGGAAACCGUGCGAAGAGUGCAAAGGCAGAAGGGAGCUUGACUGCGAGACAGACAGGUCGAGCAGGGACGAAAGUCGGGCUUAGUGAUCCGGUGGUACCGAGUGGAAGGGCCAUCGCUCAACGGAUAAAAGCUACCCCGGGGAUAACAGGCUGAUACCCCCCAAGAGUCCACAUCGACGGGGGUGUUUGGCACCUCGAUGUCGGCUCGUCUCAUCCCGGGGCUGAAGCAGGUCCCAAGGGUUGGGCUGUUCGCCCAUUAAAGAGGUACGCGAGCUGGGUUCAGAACGUCGUGAGACAGUUCGGUCCCUAUCCGCUGUGGGCGUUGGAGGUUUGAGUGGAGCUGCCCUUAGUACGAGAGGACCGGGGUGGACAUACCGCUGGUGCACCGGUUGCAGUGCCAACUGCACAGCCGGGUAGCUAAGUAUGGAAGGGAUAAGCGCUGAAAGCAUCUAAGUGCGAAGCCCCCCACGAGAAAAGACCUCCUUGAGAAUAUCUGAAGAUCCCUGGAAGACUAACAGGUAGAUAGGUCGGAGGUGUAAGUGCAGCGAUGCAUGUAGCUGACCGAUACUAAUAGAUCGAACGCUUGAU